rnacentral:lncRNA from 12 species
GGGGGGGGGGGGGGGGGGGGGGGGGGGGGGGGGGGGGGGGGGGGGGGGGGGGGGGGGGGGGGGGGGGGGGGGGGGGGGGGGGGGGGGGGGGGGGUUUGUGAGCAGAUCUAACACAGAAAUAGCCCCUUACCUGUGUUUUGUGAGCAGAUCUCACACAGAAAUAGCCCUGAGCGUGUGUUUUACACCCUGGUUUGUGUUUGCCUGCAGGAACCAGUGAAGACCUUUUCCAGGACUCUGAGGGGCGGGAGGGAUCUGAGCCCAUUGAGGAACACCAGUUUUCAGACCUCGAGGAAUCCGAGGACGAUGACGACAAUGAGGACGAGGAAGACGAGGAGGAAGAGGAGAGCCAAGAGGAGCCAGCGCCGCAGCUGCCGGAGGGCAGACGCGGCCCGCCGCCGCUGCGCCCCUCGGGGGGCUCCCCGUCUCCUCAGGAGGAAGGCACUGAGACAUCCGCAGCUCCAGAAGCCGCCGCCAGCACCCCCAGCGCGGGGGAAGGCCGGCAGGCCCCCUCCUCCUCCUCCUCCUCCUCCUCCUCAGGGCUGGAGACCAAGUGGUCAGCAGACAGCAGCGGCAUUGCUGUGUGCCACAGCUUCCUGAGCCUCCACAGAGCAGCUCUGACCUCCGCCGAGCACCCGGCUCCUGCUGAGAGGGAGUCUGCCGCAAGGCCACGCGUGUCCUUGGCCGCGGACCCGUCGACCUCCAAAGACACCUCCCCCAGGAAAAGGUGGUCCCCGAGCCAGGACGGUGGCAGAGGGGGCGGCAGCAGCAGACCGGCGAUGGCGAGGAAGCACCUACUGACCAAAAACGAAACCUCCCCCAAACGCUUCUCCCCCACGGCGGAGCCGUCCUCCCUGCGGUGCCUGUCCCCGGGGAGGGGGCUGUCCCCGCUCCAGCGCCUCUCUCCCCGCAGGGAGCUGUCCCCCCUGCCAUGUGUGUCCCCAAGGCUCGAGCUGUCGCCCAGCAGGCACUUGUCCCCCCGGAGAGAGCUGUCCCCCAGGACAGCCCUCGCCCCAGACGGAGAAGUGUCCCCUGCCAGGCACUCCUCGCCCAGCAGAGAGAUGGCAUCCCUGAGGCACUUCUCCCUGAAGAAAGUCUUGUCUCCAGGCUGCUUGGAGCCGUCCAGGUGUCCACCCCCUGGCAAAGAGGACUUGCCUGGCACUAGCAAAUCAGCAGAGGACAAAGUUCCAAGCUCAUAUCAAGCCCAGCCCGGGAUAUUCUCUUCGAUGCCUCUACCUCACAGGUUCUUUGGCAAAAACUUACAGCUCUACGAGUCCAAGCUGCCACAUAUCUCUCCAUGAUGUACGUUAGGAAACUAUGGGAAGCACCGAGAGAGAAAGAGGAAAAGGUAAAAUGUAGGGUCUGAACCCUUGAUUUGCACAGAACACACCCCAUGAGGGUGGUGGUGGGGACCCACUGCUGGGUGUGCACUCAGCAGCUGUAAGGGUGCAAUCCUGCUUUAGGGAAGCACAGUGAAAAUAAAUAAAUGAAUAAAUUAAUAUAUGAAUAACCUCAUUCCGGGCUCUCAGGAACCCCCUGCACUGACAGGGAUCCGAAGCAGCUCAGCUGGCAGCAAGCACUGGCAGCUCUGCCAGUGUUUCAGAGGCAGCUCUGAGAGUAGGGGUGAUGGUUUUAAACUAAAAAAAGAUGCAGACUAGAGCUAAGGAGGAAUUGUUUUACUCAGGGGGUGGGGAGGCCCUGGCACAAGGUGCUCAGAGAAGCUGUGGCUGCCCCUGGAUCCCUGGAAGAGCCCAGGGCCAGGUUGGUUGGGGCUGGGAGCAACCUGGGAUAAUUAAAGGCAGGGGGUUGGACAGGAUGGCCUUUAAAGGUCCCUUCCAACCAAAUAGUUGUCUGAUUUUAUAAUGAUCCAGGCCUAAGCCAAAUCCCUGGAUCUGUGCCCCAACACACCAUGGGCACAUCUGUCCCAGAAGGGCAAUGCUGUGGGUUCUGCCGCUCCUCGCCUUCAAGGUUUGGGGCUGCACACCUCCCCCAGCCGGCUGACCUCCCCGAAAUGAGAAUAAAAGCGAGCGCAGCCCUUGCAGCGCUGCCGCGCGUCACUGACCCAGCUCUUCUUUUCCCCCGGCACAGAAGAUGGAGGCCCGCAGCCCGCCCUGCUCCCCCGCCUGCCCCCGGCCCCUGCAGGCCCCUCACGACCCCCACGGCCGAGGGGAGGAGAAUGUCUUCAGCCACCUCCCGCUGCACUCGCAGCAGCUGGCCAGGACCCCGUACCCCAUGAUCCCCAUCGGGGGCAUCCAGAUGGUGCAGGCCCGGCCCAGCUCGCACGCCGGCCUGGUGCCCGGGCCCGCGCUGGGCCUGCAGGCCGGACACCUCGCCCAGCCCGGCCGGGGGGGGGGGGGGGGGGGGGGGGGGGGGGGGGGGGGGGGGGGGGGGGGGGGGGGGGGGGGGGGGGGGGGGGGG